rnacentral:lncRNA from 1 species
AGACAAGAAUAUUAUUAUAAUUUUAAGUUCUCAAAUAGCAUUUACAAAGUAUUUCGGGGUGCUACCGUCGUCAUGUGGUCAGUAUUUAUGCUGAGAAGAAUCAGUGUAAAGCUCAAAGAACGAGCUAUACGAGUGUUAAGCCUCUCGACAUCGAAAACGUAAAUGUGCAGAGAUGGUGCAGUAUUUGUGCCAGGAAUCUGUCUCCUAUAUCUCAGGGUCUGCCUGUUCUUGUCAAUGUUCUUUGCUCGGGUCCUGCUUAGGUCAUUAACAACAUUACUAACCACUGUUAGCAAAUUUUUUAAACAAUUUGUUUUUGCAAUGAAUACAAGGGUGCCUAUGCUACAAGCUACAACUCUUCCCGAGGAAAGGCAGAGAGAGAGA